rnacentral:rRNA from 1 species
CCUAGGAGGCAGCAGUGGGGAAUUUUCCGCAAUGGGCGAAAGCCUGACGGAGCAAUACCGCGUGAGGGAAGACUGCCUAUGGGUUGUAAACCUCUUUUUUCAGGGAGGAAUAAAUGACGUGUACCUGAAGAAUAAGCAUCGGCUAACUCCGUGCCAGCAGCCGCGGUAAU